GCUCAUGUGGCUCAGUGGAUAGAGCAUCAGCCCGCAGACUGAAGGGUCCCAGGUUCGAUUCCGACCAAGGGCA
rnacentral:tRNA from 1 species